rnacentral:rRNA from 1 species
GGACCCGCACAAGUAGUGGAGCAUGUGGUUUAAUUCGAAGAUACGCGCAGAACCUUACCAACACUUGACAUGUUUGUCGCGACUUUGAGAGAUCAAAGUUUUCGGUUCGGCCGGACGAAACACAGGUGCUGCAUGGCUGUCGUCAGCUCGUGUCGUGAGAUGUUGGGUUAAGUCCCGCAACGAGCGCAACCCUCACUUUUAGUUGCCAUCAUUAAGUUGGGCACUCUGAAAGAACUGCCAGUGAUAAGCUGGAGGAAGGUGGGGAUGACGUCAAGUCCUCAUGGCCCUUACGUGUUGGGCUACACACGUGCUACAAUGGUAUCUACAACAGGAAGCAAAACAGCGAUGUUAAG